GUGCCAGCAGCCGCGGUAAUACGGAGGGUCCGAGCGUUAUCCGGAAUCAUUGGGUUUAAAGGGUCCGCAGGCGGUCAAUUAAGUCAGAGGUGAAAUCCCAUAGCUUAACUAUGGAACUGCCUUUGAUACUGGUUGACUUGAGUUAUAUGGAAGUAGAUAGAAUGUGUAGUGUAGCGGUGAAAUGCAUAGAUAUUACACAGAAUACCGAUUGCGAAGGCAGUCUACUACGUAUAUACUGACGCUCAUGGACGAAAGCGUGGGGAGCGAACAGGAUUAGAUACCCUGGUAGUCCACGCCGUAAACGAUGGACACUAGUUGUUGGGAUUUAUCUCAGUGACUAAGCGAAAGUGAUAAGUGUCCCACCUGGGGAGUACGAUCGCAAGAUUGGAACUCAAAGGAAUUGACGGGGGCCCGCACAAGCGGUGGAGCAUGUGGUUUAAUUCGAUGAUACGCGAGGAACCUUACCAGGGCUUAAAUGUAGUCUGACAGCUUUAGAGAUAGAGUUUUCUUCGGACAGAUUACAAGGUGCUGCAUGGUUGUCGUCAGCUCGUGCCGUGAGGUGUCAGGUUAAGUCCUAUAACGAGCGCAACCCUUGUCGUUAGUUGCCAGCAUGUAAAGAUGGGGACUCUAACGAGACUGCCGGUGCAAACCGAGAGGAAGGUGGGGAUGACGUCAAAUCAUCACGGCCCUUACGUCCUGGG
rnacentral:rRNA from 1 species